rnacentral:tmRNA from 1 species
GGGGGCGAAAUGGGCUCGACGGGAAGGAACGAGGCAUCGGUGGCGAGCCGGGUGGCUCCCGUUAACAGCCAACCAAAAUAAGUGCGACUCCUGUUGCUUUGGCUGCAUAACGAAACGCAGCAGCCCGCCUGAAGUUCGCCUGGUGGCUUCAGGGUCGGGUUCACAGAGCCGGGUGCGUCGCUGCUGACGCCCGCUGAGCAGCGACAAAGACCAAUGCGGGCUUGGUGGCGGGGAACCAGCGUCGCGGCGACCCGUCACGAGAGGGGACGGUGACGCUACGCUCGUAGGCACCGAUGCAUCAGCCUUUCCGGACGCGGGUUCAAUUCCCGCCGCCUCCACCA